GAUGAACGCUGGCGGCAGGCCUAACACAUGCAAGUCGAGCGGUAACAGGAAGAAAGCUUGCUUUCUUUGCUGACGAGCGGCGGACGGGUGAGUAAUGCCUGGGAAAUUGCCCUGAUGUGGGGGAUAACCAUUGGAAACGAUGGCUAAUACCGCAUGAUGCCUACGGGCCAAAGAGGGGGACCUUCGGGCCUCUCGCGUCAGGAUAUGCCCAGGUGGGAUUAGCUAGUUGGUGAGGUAAUGGCUCACCAAGGCGACGAUCCCUAGCUGGUCUGAGAGGAUGAUCAGCCACACUGGAACUGAGACACGGUCCAGACUCCUACGGGAGGCAGCAGUGGGGAAUAUUGCACAAUGGGCGCAAGCCUGAUGCAGCCAUGCCGCGUGUAUGAAGAAGGCCUUCGGGUUGUAAAGUACUUUCAGUCGUGAGGAAGGGGGUAUCGUUAAUAGCGGUAUUCUUUGACGUUAGCGACAGAAGAAGCACCGGCUAACUCCGUGCCAGCAGCCGCGGUAAUACGGAGGGUGCGAGCGUUAAUCGGAAUUACUGGGCGUAAAGCGCAUGCAGGUGGUUUGUUAAGUCAGAUGUGAAAGCCCGGGGCUCAACCUCGGAGUUGCAUUUGAAACUGGCAGGCUAGAGUACUGUAGAGGGGGGUAGAAUUUCAGGUGUAGCGGUGAAAUGCGUAGAGAUCUGAAGGAAUACCGGUGGCGAAGGCGGCCCCCUGGACAGAUACUGACACUCAGAUGCGAAAGCGUGGGGAGCAAACAGGAUUAGAUACCCUGGUAGUCCACGCUGUAAACGAUGUCUACUUGGAGGUUGUGGCCUUGAGCCGUGGCUUUCGGAGCUAACGCGUUAAGUAGACCGCCUGGG
rnacentral:rRNA from 1 species